CUUCAAACCUUUGUAUGAACUAAGUGACAGGCCGCGAGGGCGCCAGCGCUCCGAGGAGCCAUCCGCGAGCACUCCCCAGACAGCUGCCGGCUGGGUGCACCCGGCGUCGGGCACUACGGGGGGGACGCCGAGGGAGCCUGCCCCCGCCCCCACCCCCACCCCCGGCUUCCCUGCGCGCUCCCUCCUCGGUCACAUGGACCCGCGAGCACCUGUUGGCAACCUCAGCCCCAAGCCGAGCCCCCCGCCGCCCCCUCUCCACCCUCACAGCAAAAUUCCUUGCGGGAGGGAAUGGGAAGACCGCCCAGUUCCCGUUCUGCAAACCCCGCUUUGCUAGGAGGGCGCAGGGGCCGGCGGGCGACGCCUGCACAGCUGCUCAGCUUAGGAAAGUGCAAAAGCGCCGCAGGCAAGCGGCGACUCGGUAGAGGGGAUCCUAACCACCCCCUCCACGCAUCACCCGCCUCCCCCGAGGCGGAGCGGGGAGAUGGGGUGCGCCCGCCCCCAGCCCAACUCCGCUGGAAACCUGGGCUCCUCGCGGGCGCAGGGUGGGGAUGCUGUGGAGUCCCGGCCGGGGCCGCAGGGGCGAGGGCAGGUAGCGGGUGGUGACGGGUGGGUGUGCGUUCCGGGUAGCCCAGUGCAGGAAGGGGGAGGGAAGCUGCCGUCGCAG
rnacentral:lncRNA from 1 species